GACGUAGGGUGCAAGCGUUGUCCGGAUUUACUGGGCGUAAAGCGCGCGUAGGCGGUCUGUUAAGUGCACGAGUGAAAGCUCCGGGCUUAACCCGGAAAGGUCAGCCGAUACUGCGGGGCUAGAGUGCAGAAGGGGCAACUGGAAUUCUCGGUGUAGCGGUGAAAUGCGUAGAUAUCGAGAGGAACACCUGCGGCGAAGGCGGGUUGCUGGGCUGACACUGACGCUGAUGUGCGAAAGCUAGGGGAGCAAACGGG
rnacentral:rRNA from 1 species